rnacentral:pre_miRNA from 1 species
CAAGUACUCCCUCCGUCCGGAUUUACUUGUCAUCAAAAUGGAUGUGUCUAGAACUAAAAUACAUCUAGAUACAUCCAUUUCAAUGACAAGUAUUUUCGGACGGAGGGAGUACAAG